AGUUAAGUGACUAAGCGUACACGGUGGAUGCCUAGGCAAUCAGAGGCGAAGAAGGACGUGCUAAUCUGCGAAAAGCUUGGAUGAGUUGAUAAGAAGCGUUUAAUCCAAGAUAUCCGAAUGGGGAAACCCAGUAGAUGAAGAAUCUACUAUCACUUGUUGAAUACAUAGGCAAGUGAAGCAAACCGGGAGAACUGAAACAUCUAAGUACCCCGAGGAAAAGAAAUCAACCGAGAUUUUGUAAGUAGCGGCGAGCGAAAGCGAAAGAGCCAGUGAGUGAUARCAGCAAAGACAGAAGAAUUGGCUGGGAAGCCAAGCGACACAGGGUGAUAGCCCCGUAUUCGAAGUUUUUGUUGUGGUACUAAGCUUGCAACAAGUAGGGCGGGACACGAGAAAUCCUGUUUGAAGAUGGGGGGACCAUCCUCCAAGGCUAAAUACUCCUGAUUGACCGAUAGUGAACCAGUACUGUGAAGGAAAGGCGAAAAGAACCCCAGUGAGGGGAGUGAAAUAGAACCUGAAACCGUGUACGUACAAGCAGUGGGAGCCCGAAAGGGUGACUGCGUACCUUUUGUAUAAUGGGUCAGCGACUUAUAUUUUGUAGCGAGGUUAACUGAAUAAGGGAGCCGAAGGGAAACCGAGUCUUAACUGGGCGGAUAGUUGCAAGGUAUAGACCCGAAACCCGGUGAUCUAGCCAUGGGCAGGUUGAAGGUUGGGUAACACUAACUGGAGGACCGAACCGACUAAUGUUGAAAAAUUAGCGGAUGACUUGUGGCUGGGGGUGAAAGGCCAAUCAAACCGGGAGAUAGCUGGUUCUCCCCGAAAUCUAUUUAGGUAGAGCCUUAUGUGAAUACCUUCGGGGGUAGAGCACUGUUUCGGCUAGGGGUCCAUCCCGGAUUACCAACCCGAUGCAAACUGCGAAUACCGAAGAGUAAUGCAUAGGAGACACACGGUGGGUGCUAACGUCCAUCGUGGAGAGGGAAACAACCCAGACCGCCAGCUAAGGUCCCAAAGUCUAUAUUAAGUGGGAAACGAAGUGGGAAGGCUUAGACAGCUAGGAUGUUGGCUUAGAAGCAGCCAUCAUUUAAAGAAAGCGUAAUAGCUCACUAGUCGAGUCGGCCUGCGCGGAAGAUGUAACGGGGCUAAAAUAUAGCACCGAAGCUGCGGCAUCAGGCGUAUCACUAAUACGCCUUAAGAUUAACAACAUCGAAUGAAGUGAAACGGAAAGAGAUGUUGGUCAAGCAACCCGAACGUUGAGUCGGAAAGUAAUCGAAGAGAGGAUUAUUAGUGAUACGUCUGUUGGGUAGGGGAGCGUUGUGUAAGCGGAUGAAGGUGAAUCGAGAGGUUUGCUGGACGUAUCACAAGUGCGAAUGCUGACAUAAGUAACGAUAAAACGAGUGAAAAACUCGUUCGCCGGAAGACCAAGGGUUCCUGUCCAACGUUAAUCGGGGCAGGGUGAGUCGGCCCCUAAGGCGAGGCUGAAAAGCGUAGUCGAUGGGAAACGGGUUAAUAUUCCCGUACUUG
rnacentral:rRNA from 1 species